rnacentral:tRNA from 1 species
UCCCCUGUAGCUCAACCGGUAGAGCAGGUCGCUGUUAACGACAAGGUUCGUGGUUCGAGUCCACGCGGGGGAG